rnacentral:rRNA from 1 species
CCUACGGGAGGCAGCAGUGGGGAAUUGUUCGCAAUGGGCGCAAGCCUGACGACGCAACGCCGCGUGGAGGACGAAGAUCUUCGGGUCGUAAACUCCUGUCGAGUGGGAAGAACAUCUUUCCGAUGAAUAUUCGGAGAGACUGACGGUACCACUAAAGGAAGCCCCGGCCAACUCCGUGCCAGCAGCCGCGGUAAU